AGAGUUUGAUCCUGGCUCAGACUGAACGCUGGCGGCAUGGCUAAAACAUGCAAGUCGAACGGGCCCGCAAGGUAGUGGCGGAAGGGUGAGUAAUGAUAUCGAACGUACCCCGAGGUGGCGGAUAGGCAUGGGAAACUGUGCGUAAUACGUCAUGAUCUCGUGAGAGCAAAGCAGCAAUGCGCCUUGGGAGCGGCGAUAUUCCUAUCAGGUAGUUGGCGGGGUAACGGCCCACCAAGCCGAAGACGGGUAGCCGGUAUGAGAGUACGGCCGGCCACAUCGGGACUGAGACACUGCCCGGACUCUACGGGAGGCUGCAGUAACGAAUAUUCCACAAUGCACGAAAGUGUGAUGGAGCAAUGCCGCGUGUGGGAUGAAGCGGUUUUCCGUGUAAACCACUGUCAGGGAAUAGAAACAUUGAUCAUUCCCAAAGGAAGGGGCGACUAACUCUGUGCCAGCAGUCGCGGUAAUACAGAGGCCCCAAGCGUUAGUCGGAAUCACUGGGCUUAAAGGGUGCGUAGGCGGGUCAGUAAGUGUCUUGUGAAAGCCCACGGCUCAACCGUGGAACCGCAGGGCAUACUGCUGAUCUUGAGGAAGGUAGAGGCCGGUGGAACGAUAGGUGGAGCGGUGGAAUGCGUAGAGAUCUAUCGGAACGCCAAUGGUGAAGACAGCCGGCUGGGCCUUUCCUGACGCUGAGGCACGAAAGCGUGGGGAGCAAACAGGAUUAGAUACCCUGGUAGUCAAUCGAAUU
rnacentral:rRNA from 1 species